rnacentral:rRNA from 1 species
UACGAAGGGUGCUAGCGUUGUUCGGAAUUACUGGGCGUAAAGCGCGCGUAGGCGGUCUAACAAGUCAGGGGUGAAAUCCUUGGGCUCAACCCAAGAAUUGCCUUUGAAACUGUUAGACUUGAGUGUCGGAGGGGAUAGCGGAAUUGCUAAUGUAGAGGUGAAAUUCGUAGAUAUUAGCAGGAACACCGGUGGCGAAGGCGGCUAUCUGGACGACAACUGACGCUGAGGCGCGAAAGCGUGGGGAUCAAACAGG